rnacentral:rRNA from 1 species
GAUGAACGCUAGCUACAGGCUUAACACAUGCAAGUCGAGGGGUAACGAGAGGAAAGCUUGCUUUCCUUGUCGACGACCGGCGCACGGGUGAGUAACGCGUAUCCAACCUGCCCCCAACUAGGGAAUAACCUUGCGAAAGUAAGACUAAUACCCUAUAGUUUCCUCAGAUGUCAUCUGACGAGGAAUAAAGAUUUAUCGGUUGUGGAUGGGGAUGCGUCUGAUUAGCUUGUUGGCGGGGUAACGGCCCACCAAGGCAACGAUCAGUAGGGGUUCUGAGAGGAAGGUCCCCCACGUUGGAACUGAGACACGGUCCAAACUCCUACGGGAGGCAGCAGUGAGGAAUAUUGGUCAAUGGGCGGAAGCCUGAACCAGCCAAGUAGCGUGCAGGAUGACGGCCCUAUGGGUUGUAAACUGCUUUUAUACAGGAAUAAAGUUAGCCACGUGUGGUUAUUUGUAGGUACUGUAUGAAUAAGGACCGGCUAAUUCCGUGCCAGCCGCCGCUGUAA